UUUUUUAUCCCCUUCUCGGUAUGGUACUCUUGAGGAACAAGAUGUUUCAGCAGCUUGGUGUAUCUAGGCUUCUAGCAGGCUUAAAGACAUGUAAUUGAUUUAUAAUUUCAGGCCAAAAAUACAUUAUUCUAGUCUUUAGGCUUGACCUGAAAUGGAACCAAUCAUCAAUAUCUCUGAAGACGAAGGCCCUGUUUGGGGGAGCUUUUGGAGGGCCAGAAAGCACUUUCUGGCCCUCCAAAAGUACUUUUAGAUAAAAAACUAUGUUUGGUAAAUUUUUCAAAAAGCUGUUUCAGCUUUUGCGGGAAGCUGAAAACAGCUUUUGGAAGGAAGCUCCAAUUUGAAGCUUUUGGAAGGAAGUUGUUUCAGCUUUUUCGGAAAGCUGUAUUUUUGACAAAAAUGCCCAUAUUAAAAUAUAAUAAUUACAUAGCUUGUCCCUUUAUAAAUCUAAAAAUCUGCUGGAGCCAAGAAUCCUAGCCGUCAGACUCUCUUCCGUAUAAAAAGGUAUUUUU
rnacentral:lncRNA from 1 species